rnacentral:rRNA from 1 species
UACAGAGGUCUCAAGCGUUGUUCGGAUUCAUUGGGCGUAAAGCGCGCGUAGGCGGCUGCGCAAGUCGGUUGUGAAAUUCCGGGGCUCAACCCCGGAACUGCGUCCGAUACUGCGUGGCUAGAGGUAGGUAGGGGAGAUCGGAAUUCCUGGUGUAGCGGUGAAAUGCGCAGAUAUCAGGAGGAACACCGAUGGCGAAGGCAGGUCUCUGGGCCACUACUGACGCUGAGGCACGAAGGCCAGGGGAGCAAACAGG